UACGGAGGGUGCGAGCGUUAAUCGGAAUUACUGGGCGUAAAGCGCACGUAGGUGGCGACGUAAGUCGGGUGUGAAAGCCCCGGGCUCAACCUGGGAAUUGCAUUCGAGACUGCAUUGCUGGAGUACGGAAGAGGAAGGCGGAAUUCCCGGUGUAGCGGUGAAAUGCGUAGAUAUGCGGAGGAACACCGAUGGCGAAGGCAAUCCCCUGGGCCUGCACUGACGCUCAUGCACGAAAGCGUGGGGAGCAAACAGG
rnacentral:rRNA from 1 species